rnacentral:rRNA from 1 species
GAGUUUGAUCCUGGCUCAGAACGAACGCUGGCGGCAGGCUUAACACAUGCAAGUCGAGCGCCCCGCAAGGGGAGCGGCAGACGGGUGAGUAACGCGUGGGAAUCUACCGUGCCCUACGGAAUAGCUCCGGGAAACUGGAAUUAAUACCGUAUACGCCCUACGGGGGAAAGAUUUAUCGGGGUAUGAUGAGCCCGCGUUGGAUUAGCUAGUUGGUGGGGUAAAGGCCUACCAAGGCGACGAUCCAUAGCUGGUCUGAGAGGAUGAUCAGCCACAUUGGGACUGAGACACGGCCCAAACUCCUACGGGAGGCAGCAGUGGGGAAUAUUGGACAAUGGGCGCAAGCCUGAUCCAGCCAUGCCGCGUGAGUGAUGAAGGUCUUAGGAUUGUAAAGCUCUUUCACCGGUGAAGAUAAUGACGGUAACCGGAGAAGAAGCCCCGGCUAACUUCGUGCCAGCAGCCGCGGUAAUACGAAGGGGGCUAGCGUUGUUCGGAAUUACUGGGCGUAAAGCGCACGUAGGCGGAUAUUUAAGUCAGGGGUGAAAUCCCAGAGCUCAACUCUGGAACUGCCUUUGAUACUGGGUAUCUUGAGUAUGGAAGAGGUGAGUGGAAUUCCGAGUGUAGAGGUGAAAUUCGUAGAUAUUCGGAGGAACACCAGUGGCGAAGGCGGCUCACUGGUCCAUU